AAAACGACUCUCGGCAACGGAUAUCUCGGCUCUCGCAUCGAUGAAGAACGCAGCGAAAUGCGAUACUUGGUGUGAAUUGCAGGAUCCCGCGAACCAUCGAGUCUUUGAACGCAAGUUGCGCCCGAAGCCUUCCGGCCGAGGGCACGCCUGCCUGGGUGUCACGC
rnacentral:rRNA from 1 species